GGUAUUUUGACCGUGCAAAGGUAGCAUAAUCAUUAGUUUUUUAAUUGAAAGCUGGAAUGAAAGGUUGGAUGAAAAAUGAGCUGUCUCUAUUUAAUUUUAUUAGAAUUUUAUUUUUAAGUAAAAAAGCUUAAAUUUUGAUAGAAGACGAGAAGACCCUAUAGAGUUUUAUUUAUUUUUUAAAUAAGAUUAAUAGUAUUAAUUAUUUUUAUCUAAAAAAUGAAUUUAGUUGGGGUGAUUGAAAAAUUUAAUAAACUUUUUUUAUAUAUAUACAUUAAUAUAUGACUAAUUGAUCCUUAAUUUAAGAUUAAAAGAUAAAAUUACCUUAGGGAUAACAGCGUAAUUUUUUUUGAGAGUUCUAAUCGAAAGAAAAGAUUGCGACCUCGAUGUUGGAUUAAAAUAAAAUUUUGGUGUAGAAGCUAAAA
rnacentral:rRNA from 1 species